rnacentral:rRNA from 1 species
UACGUAGGGUGCAAGCGUUGUCCGGAAUUAUUGGGCGUAAAGAGCUCGUAGGCGGUCUGUCGCGUCUGGUGUGAAAAUCCAGGGCUUAACCCUGGACCUGCAUCGGGUACGGGCAGACUAGAGUGCGGUAGGGGAGAUCGGAAUUCCUGGUGUAGCGGUGAAAUUCGUAGAUAUUGGGAAGAACACCGAUGGCGAAGGCAGCCAUCUGGACCGACACUGACGCUGAGGCGCGAAAGCGUGGGGAGCAAACAGG